AAUAAGAUCAUUUUUUAGUUUUCUGAUAUAAUGUUUUGAUUCUUCGUCUUACUCGAAAUUUUUUUGCGAUUAAUAUUUUUAUUCUUACUAGAUGAUAAAACAUGAAUAGUAGUUUAUAUGUGACUAAUUUUUUUAAGUUUUUGUACAAAUUUUUCAAAUAAGACGAAUGAUCAAACGUUGGAUAUGGAAAAAC
rnacentral:pre_miRNA from 1 species